rnacentral:rRNA from 1 species
GAGUUUGAUCCUGGCUCAGAAUGAACGUUGGCGGCGUGGAUUAGGCAUGCAAGUCGAGCGAGAAUGAGUAAUUGGAUCCUUCGGGUGAAGCUUGCUCAGGAAAGCGGCAAACGGCGUAGUAAGGCGUAGGUACAUGCCCUCAGGUUGGGAAUAGCCACGGGAAACUGUGGGUAAUGCCCAAUAAUCUCUGCGGAGCAAAGGUGUGAUUCCGCCUGAGGAGUGGCUUACGUGAUAUUAGCUUGUUGGUGGGGUAAUGGCCUACCAAGGCGACGAUGUCUAGGGGGUGUGAGAGCAUGGCCCCCACGACCGGAACUGAGACACUGUCCGGACACCUACGGGUGGCUGCAGUCGAGAAUCUUCCGCAAUGGGCGAAAGCCUGACGGAGCGACGCCGCGUGCGGGAUGAAGGCCCUUGGGUUGUAAACCGCUGUCAGAGGGGAUGAAAUCAUGGUAGGCAAUCCUUCCAUGUUGACAAAGCCUCAGAGGAAGCACGGGCUAAGUACGUGCCAGCAGCCGCGGUAACACGUACUGUGCGAACGUUAUUCGGAAUCACUGGGCUUAAAGGGUAUGUAGGCGGUUAAUCAAGUCAGAUGUGAAAUGCCACAGCUCAACUGUGGCACUGCGUUUGAAACUGAUUGGCUAGAGUAUUCCAGAGGUGUGCGAAACUGCCAGUGGAGCGGUGAAAUGCGUUGAUAUUGGCAGGAACACCAUAGGCAAAGGCCGCACACUGGGGGAAAACUGACGCUGAUAUACGAAAGCCAUGCUAGCUAACGGGAUUACAUACCCCGGUAGUCCUGGCUGUAAACGAUGAGCACUGGGUGAGAGGCCAUUCGUCGCUUUUUGCCGUAACGAAAGCAUU